GAUGAAGAACGUAGCGAAAUGCGAUAAGUAGUGUGAAUUGCAGAAUUCAGUGAAUCAUCGAAUCUUUGAACGCACAUUGCGCCUCCUGGUAUUCCGGGAGGCAUGCCUGUUCGAGCGUCAUUAAAAUCACUCAAGCUUAGGUUUACCUAUUGCUUGGUCUUGGAGAUGGAAGCCAAUUUAUUGGAAUCCUCUUCGAAAUUCAAUGGCGAAGACCCUUGCUCUCCCAAGUGUAGUAAUAACUUAUGUCACUGAAGGAAGCGAGAAAUCUUCUGCCGUAACCCCCAUAUUUUCUAUGAUUGACCUCGGAUCAGGUAGGGAUACCCGCUGAACUUAAGCAUAUCAAUAAGCGGAGA
rnacentral:misc_RNA from 1 species